rnacentral:rRNA from 1 species
UACGUAGGGGGCAAGCGUUGUCCGGAAUUAUUGGGCGUAAGGAGCUUGUAGGCGGUCUGUCGCGUCUGCUGUGAAAAUCCGGGGCUCAACCCCGGACUUGCAGUGGGUACGGGCAGACUAGAGUGUGGUAGGGGAGACUGGAAUUCCUGGUGUAGCGGUGAAAUGCGCAGAUAUCAGGAGGAACACCGAUGGCGAAGGCAGGUCUCUGGGCCACUACUGACGCUGAGAAGCGAAAGCAUGGGGAGCGAACAGG